UACGGGGGGGGGCAAGCGUUGUUCGGAAUUACUGGGCGUAAAGGGCCAGUAGGCGGCCAACUAAGUCGGAUGUGAAAUCCCCAGGCUCAACUUGGGAACUGCAUCCGAUACUGGAUGGCUUGAAUUCGGGAGAGGGAUGCAGAAUUCCAGGUGUAGCGGUGAAAUGCGUAGAUAUCUGGAGGAAUACCGGUGGCGAAGGCGGCUACCUGGACCGGUUCUGACGCUGAGGCGCGAAAGCGUGGGGAGCAAACAGG
rnacentral:rRNA from 1 species